rnacentral:rRNA from 1 species
UUCCGGUUGAUCCUGCCAGACCUGACUGCUAUCGGAUUGAUACUAAGCCAUGCGAGUCAUUGUAGCAAUACAAGGCAUACGGCUCAGUAACGCGUAGUCAACCUAACCUAUGGACGGGAAUAACCUCGGGAAACUGAGAAUAAUGCCCGAUAGAACAUUAUACCUGGAAUGGUUUAUGUUCCAAAUGAUUUAUCGCCGUAGGAUGGGACUGCGGCCUAUCAGUUUGUUGGUGAGGUAAUGGCCCACCAAGACUAUUACAGGUACGGGCUCUGAGAGGAGUAGCCCGGAGAUGGGUACUGAGACACGGACCCAGGCCCUAUGGGGCGCAGCAGGCGAGAAAACUUUGCAAUGUGCGAAAGCACGACAAGGUUAAUCCGAGUGGUUUCUGCUAAAGGAACCUUUUGUUAGUCCUAGAAACACUUACGAAUAAGGGGUGGGCAAGUUCUGGUGUCAGCCGCCGCGGUAAAACCAGCACCUCAAGUGGUCAGGAUGAUUAUUGGGCCUAAAGCAUCCGUAGCCGGCUCUGUAAGUUUUCGGUUAAAUCUGUACGCUCAACGUACAGACUGCCGGGAAUACUGCAGAGCUAGGGAGUGGGAGAGGUAGACGGUACUCGGGAGGAAGUGGUAAAAUGCUUUGAUCUCUCGAUGACCACCUGUGGCGAAGGCGGUCUACCAGAACACGUCCGACGGUGAGGGAUGAAAGCUGGGGGAGCAAACCGGAUUAGAUACCCGGGUAGUCCCAGCUGUAAACUAUGCAAACUCAGUGAUGCAUUGGCUUGUGGCCAAUGCAGUGCUGCAGGGAAGCCGUUAAGUUUGCCGCCUGGGAAGUACGUACGCAAGUAUGAAACUUAAAGGAAUUGGCGGGGGAGCACCACAAGGGGUGAAGCCUGCGGUUCAAUUGGAGUCAACGCCGGAA